UAGGGAAUAUUGGACAAUGGGUGAGAGCCUGAUCCAGCCAUGCCGCGUGCAGGAAGAAGGCGUUAUGCGUUGUAAACUGCUUUUGCCAGGGGAUAAAAUGACCGUGCGCGGUUAAUUGAAGGUACCUGGUGAAUAAGCCACGGCUAACUACGUGCCAGCAGCCGCGGUAAUACGUAGGUGGCAAGCGUUGUCCGGAUUUAUUGGGUUUAAAGGGUGCGUAGGUGGCCCUGUAAGUCAGUGGUGAAAUAUCUCAGCUUAACUGAGAGGGUGCCAUUGAUACUGCAGGGCUUGAGUACAGAUGAGGUAGGCGGAAUUGACGGUGUAGCGGUGAAAUGCAUAGAUAUCGUCAAGAACACCGAUAGCGAAGGCAGCUUACCAAGCUGUAACUGACACUGAGGCACGAAAGUGUGGGGAUCAAACAGGAUUAGAUACCCUGGUAGUCCCUGAGCGGGCUGGCAAGGCGCAU
rnacentral:rRNA from 1 species